rnacentral:rRNA from 1 species
AUUGAACGCUGGCGGAAUGCUUUACACAUGCAAGUCGAACGGCAGCACGGACUUCGGUCUGGUGGCGAGUGGCGAACGGGUGAGUAAUACAUCGGAACGUGCCCAAUCGUGGGGGAUAACGUAGCGAAAGCUACGCUAAUACCGCAUACGAUCUAAGGAUGAAAGCGGGGGAUCGCAAGACCUCGCGCGAUUGGAGCGGCCGAUGGCAGAUUAGGUAGUUGGUAGGGUAAAGGCCUACCAAGCCGACGAUCUGUAGCUGGUCUGAGAGGAUGAUCCGCCACACUGGGACGUAGACACGGCCCAGACUCCGACGGGAGGCAGCAGUGGGGAAUUUUGGACAAUGGACGCAAGUCUGAUCCAGCCAUUCCGCGUGCAGGAUGAAGGCCCUCGGGUUGUAAACUGCUUUUGUACAGAACGAAAAGGCUCUGGUUAAUACCUAGGGCUCAUGACGGUACUGUAAGAAUAAGCACCGGCUAACUACGUGCCAGCAGCCGCCGUAA